GACGAACGCUGGCGGCGUGCCUAACACAUGCAAGUCUGGGAGAAUUGGGUAGCAAUAUCCAUUGUAAACCGGCGCACGGGUGAGUAAUAUAUAGGUAAUAUGCCUUUUGGUUUGGAAUAACCCCGCGAAAGCGGGGCUAAUACUGAAUGAUGCAGCGUUUCCGCAUGGAGAUGUUGUUAAAGCUUCGGUGCCAAGAGAUUAACCUGUAUCCCAUUAGAUAGUUGGUGAGGAACGGCUCACCAAGUCUGCGAUGGGUAGCUGAUCUGAGAGGAUGAUCAGCCACACUGGAACUGAGACACGGUCCAGACCUCCUACGGGAGGCAGCAGUGAGGAAUAUUGCG
rnacentral:rRNA from 1 species